AUGGGAGGAACAAGUGUCAAUACUAUUUGGAGCAAGAUUUGGAAAUUAUCUUGUCCAGCAAAAGUGAAGAUUUUUAUUUGGCGUACCUUACAUGGAACCCUCCCAUGUCGUGUUACACUUGCUAAUAGACAUAUGAAAGUUUCGCCCACCUGCCCAUCAUGUUCGAACGGGCAUGAAGAUACUAAACACUUAUUAUUUUUGUGUCAAAAGGCAAAAGAGGUGUGGGAGAAACUGGGAUUGCACGAAGCCAUUAAAAAAGCUUGCGUAGUCGAUCGUGCGGGAGAGGCAGUACUCGAAUUUCUACUUCUUAUGCGAGAACACGAGCUAUCUACAGUGGGCAUACAGAAUGUUCGCGAACUGAUCGCUAUAACAACCUGGUAUUUAUGGUGGGAAAGACGUUCGCUAGUCCAUGAAGACCCAAGAUGCAUACCAAUUUUGAUGGGAGUCCGUGCUAUAACAACAAACUAUGUUAUUGCCCAAUCCUCCAAGGCAACAAAUAGAAUAGAGGGAUGGACGAGACCCCCUCUAGGUUUUGUCAAAUUAAAUGUCGAUGCUUCUUUCGAUCAAGACAUGCUUAGAGGCACAGCGGGAGCUGUACUUAGAGAUGAUAAAGGAAGGUUUAUUGUUGGAGGGAAUUGGAAGAUGGAUUGGUGUGCAGAUGUCUUAACAGCGGAAGCCAUGGCACUUCGUUUUGGCUUAUUACUUGCACAAAAGGCGGGAAGCAACCGAGUUGUUGUUAACUCCGACAAUAUGGAAGUAAUUGACACGAUGAAGAAUGGAGGACAUAUAGCGGGAGCGGCGGCAGCUGUGUUUGAUGAUUGUUAUUUUAUGGCUUGUGAUUUUUCAUUAGUUAGAUUUGAACGUUGUAAUAGGAAGGCAAAUAAAGUAGCUCAUGAAAUUGCCAGAGUAGCUAAAUUUUUUAAGACAAGGGAUUAG
rnacentral:rRNA from 1 species